rnacentral:rRNA from 1 species
ACUCAAAUGAAUUGACGGGGACCCGCACAAGCGGUGGAUCGUGUUCUUUAAUUCGAUGAUAAACGAAGAACCUUACCAGGGCUUGACAUCCAGGGAAGGACUGCGAAAGUAGUCUGUGCCUUUUGGAACCCUGUGACAGGUGAUGCAUGGCCGUCGUCAGCUCGUGUCGUGAGAUGUUUGGUUAAGUCCAUCAACGAGCGCAACCCUUGUACUUAGUUGUAUUUUUCUAGGUAGACUGCCCCGGUAACGGGGAGGAAGGAGGGGAUGAUGUCAGGUCAGUAUUUCCCUUACGUCCUGGGCUAGAAACACGAUACAAUGGUUAAUACAAUGCGCAGCGAAGCCGCGAGGUGGAGCAAAUCGCAUCAAAGUUAAUCUCAGUUCGGAUUGGAGGCUGAAACUCGCCUCCAUGAAGUCGGAAUCGCUAGUAAUCGCAAAUCAGCAAGUUGCGGUGAAUACGUUCCCGGGUCUUGCACACACCGCCCGU